UACGGCUACAACACGUUGAACCACCGGUUCUCAAACGAUCAGCGAAGUUAAGCACGUCGAACCAGGUCAGUAACUAGAUGGGUGACCGUUUGUGAAUUUCAGGUGCUGUAAG